GACGAACGCUGGCGGCGUGCUUAACACAUGCAAGUCGAACGGAAAGGCCCUGCUUUUGUGGGGUGCUCGCGUGGCGAGCGGGUGAGUAACACGUGAGUAACCUGCCCUUGACUUUGGGAUAACUUCAGGCAACUGGGGCUAAUACCGGAUAGGAGCUCCUGCUGCAUGGGGGGGGUUGGAAAGUUUCGGCGGGUGGGGAUGGACUCGCGGCUUAUCAGCUUGUUGGUUGGGUAGUGGCUUACCCAGGCUUUGACGGGUAGCCGGCCUGGGAGGGUGAACGGCCACAUUGGGACUGAGAGACGGCCCAGACUCCUACGGGAGGCAGCAGUGGGGAAUAUUGCACAAUGGGCGGAAGCCUGAUGCAGCAACGCCGCGUGCGGGAUGACGGCCUUCGGGUUGUAAACCGCUUUCGCCUGUGACGAAGCGUGAGUGACGGUAAUGGGUAAAGAAGCACCGGCUAACUACGUG
rnacentral:rRNA from 1 species